AUUCCUGCAGAUUUACAUCAUCUC
rnacentral:siRNA from 1 species